rnacentral:lncRNA from 1 species
UGGAGGUUUAUUUUGUCCAAGACCUUGUGCCCAGGAGGCGAACUCGGCUGGAGGCGAGGUCAGCUGACCGCGAUGCCCCCUGGAGGUGCCGCCGCACAGGGUCCCGCGUGGAUAGUCCUCGGGGAAACGGCCUUUCCACGCGGAUCCUUCUUCAUCUGGGACAUUGACGCUGUCAUGUUGUUUAAUUUCUAUCAUAUCUCACACAGCUAAUCAUUUUAAAUCUGUGAAGUUUCUUCUGAAAAUUAGGACUUUGUAGUUGCCACAAGUUCCACUAGAGGGCGGCAAAGGGCUACAUCUGAGCGAAGCUGCUGGGAGGAAAAACGAUUGAAAAGCCUUUGCUGGGGUUAAGCGGAAUGCGCGGGGCGUCUGCUCCCCGGCUUCCCAACGUAAAAUCGUUGUAACUGCUAGAAGCAUCAGAGAACUUUAAUGGACCAGCAGUGUGAGUUGUGGACCAGCGGUGUGAGCUGUGAAAUGUAACACAAAGCUGUCCCCUGCCAGCCAAAAUAUUUUAGUCAUUGUAGCGGCUUCAGUGGUGGUUCCCAAAGACAUUUUUAUGUCUUAAGCCUGGCACCUGUAAAUGUGGCCUUAUUUGGAAAAAGUUAAGAAUCUCCCGAUGAGAUAUUCUGGUCAUGAGGGUAGGCCCUAAAUUCAGUGACACGUGUUCUUAUGAGAGAAAGGCACAGAGAGAUUUGACACAGAUGGAAGAGAAGUCCAUGAAGAGAGGAGAGUCCAUGUGAAGAUGCAGGCAGAGAUUGGAAUGAUCACAAGGUCGCCAACACCCGGAGCCGCUAGAAGCAGGGAGAGGCAGGGAGGGGUUCUCCCCUGGAGCCUCUGAGGGGGGCACAGCCUGCCGACACCUUGAUUUUGGACUUCUGGCCCUCCACACUGUAGCCACCUAGUUUGUGGUAAUUUGUUUAAACAAUCCUAGAAAACAUACAGCCACCCAACACCGUGCCUUCUCAAAGGGGUUUCCAGGGGGGAGAAUAUUGGUUCUUGGAGGGGAAGGGAGUGUGUGAAAAAGUCUUCGGUGUUACAAUGGUUUGUCGUCCUCCAAAGGACCACAGAACAUAAACAGAUACACAGUAUCCGGGUGGUAUUAAAAUUUUAUUCAAGGGGGCAGGGAGGAAAAGGACAAUUAAGGAAAAAAAUCUAAACAAGUCUCCUCAGGGGAAUGAUCAUUUUUUAAAAGCUGAGAAUCACAGCCCUACACCUGUGCUGCAGACGCAUCCAUGCUUUUAAUGUUUAGGAUGAUAUGAGGAAAAAUUAAGACAUAACGAAAACAAAACGAGAGAAAAGUAAAAAACAGCUGGAACCUAUGAAUUGUUCUGCCCCAGAGAAAGGCAUUUUCAACGACUCCCUCUUCUCGCCCCAUAAAUACAGAAACCGUGUGUGUUGGGCACACAAUUUACAAAUGAGAAAUCGAGCUCACUGCCCCGAAGAGGAUCACAGCCCAGGCCAUGCUUCCAACCCAGCGGGUCCUGUGCCAACAUCGAGCAGAGCCUAAGGGAACCUCGCUCGCAGGGUCCCCAUGGUCCUGCUAAGAUGCCCCCCUGUCCUGGACACCAGUGGUCCCAAGACGACAAACCCUGAGAGAUCCCUGACAGUCACCCUCUUCCUUCUGCUACCAGCGUCCCAACUUUGCUCCAACAUCAACACGGACAGUUCCAGAGGAUGUGCCAUCUGGGUCUAAGCCACUCAUUGCAAUCCUGUAUCCUUUUGACAUUGGGGAUUGGACUAAGGCAGGGUUAGGGUAUGUCAAUCUUUUUUUCAUUGUUGACAUCCUAAGGAACUAUCUUAGCUAUUUUUUUCCCUAAUCAACCCUCUCUGCCCCAUGACAUUUUAAUACCACAGAUAUUCUGAAUAUCUGUUUAUGUAGUGUAUGGAUAUUAUGGUUUGUUUAUAAAUAAAAAGAUUUCUUUGCCCCUGCCAAGAACUUAUUUUUACCCCUUUGGGGGUGAUAUGGUCCCUGCUGAGAAUGCCUGGUGUAAGGGAUUGCAACACUGUUGAUAAUAGCAGACUGGAAAUCACUUAAAUGUCCCUCAGUAAGGACUGGUGAAAUAAACUAUGCCACACCCGAGGCAUAUGACACUAUGUAGCCACACACACACAAAAUGAGGAGUCUCCUAUCUACUCAUAUGGCAAGAUUUCCAAAAUAUAUUAAGUAAAAAAUGCAAGGAACAGAUGUGCCAUUCUCGCAAAAACAGGAAGAAUGGAAAUAUGUAUUUGUAUGUGCCCAAAUUAUCACAGAAAAGAUAUAUGUGGCACUAGUGACACUGGUGACUUAGAGGGAAGACAACUAGGUGACAACAGGAUGGAGAUGGGAGACAAAACUUUGACUGUCUACACCAUGUGAUUGUGC